UUCCCAGGUCAGUGAGUAAUAAUAAUAAUAAGCCCCGCAGGGCAUCUGAGGCGGAUGACGGGGAGUAGCGACCCCGCGGGGCUAUAUAUCCGAGUGCUCCAGGGAGAGUAUACUGUCCCCCAUCUCCGGCUUGCCGGAGUGAAGCAUGACGGGGGAUAGGUCUCCCGCCUCUUGGCUUGCCUUCACCGGCCGGUCAGAGUGGAGUCGCUAGAGCAAUGCUCGGAGGGUAGGUGCCUCGUGGUAAGUGGCGAGUGGGCCGGUGAUGCUGGACCCACAGGGAGCGCGUGAUCUGCGUUUAAAAGCGCUAUUACAAAAUCGAAUCGCUCAGGUUUAGGUAAAUUAGACGAUAGCCGGCAGCACUUGCGCGCGUGUGCGUCUAGUGAAAUACGCAACGCACACCUGCGGACCGCCACGCGGCACAAACAAACUUGAGACUUUGCCACUUUUAUUUUCGAAAUAGUUUAUUGGUUUUAUAGUUUAUGAAAUAUUAUUUGUACCGAUGAAUUUUAUAACCUAGAAUAGCUCGAUUGAGUUACAAUAAACAAAUAAUCGUUUACAA